GGAAGGAUCAUUACCAUGAAGCGGCUUGGGGAUAUCCCAAGUUCGCCAAUCCUUUGUGUACUUUCCUGUUGCUUCGGCGGGACGUUCAUGGCCCUCUCGUCAUGGCCACCGAUUUCUCGGUGUGCGCCCGUCGGAAGAUCCAAAUACUACAUUCUGUGGCGUUGUCCGAGCAAAUGAGAAAUCAAACAAAACUUUCAACAACGGAUCUCUUGGUUCCGGCAUCGAUGAAGAACGCAGCGAAAUGCGAUAAGUAAUGUGAAUUGCAGAAUUCAGUGAAUCAUCGAGUCUUUGAACGCACAUUGCGCCCCAUGGCAUUCCAUGGGGCACGCCUGUUCGAGCGUCAUUUCAACCUUCAAGCCUGGCUUGGUAUUGGGUCUGCUGCCCCUGGCGGGCCUCAAAGAUAUUGGCGGUGGGCAACCCUCGAGCGUGAUGGACUCACGACAACGGGGCGGCUCGUCGCUGAAAGUUCUCUUUAGGUUGACCUCGGAUCAGGCGGGGAUACCCGCUGAACUUAAGCAUAUCAAUAAGCGGAGGAAAAGAAACCAACCGGGAUUGCCUCAGUAACGGCGAGUGAAGCGGCAAGAGCUCAAAUUUGAAAUCUGCCUCCCUUGGAGGCCGAAUUGUAAUUUGAAGAGGAUGCCUCGCGGAUGGUGCCACCCUAAGUCCCUUGGAACAGGGCGUCAGAGAGGGUGAGAGUCCCGUAUGCGGGUGGACACCGGAUGCAUGUGAGGCUCCUUCGACGAGUCGAGUUGUUUGGGAAUGCAGCUCCAAUUGGGAGGUAAAUUUCUUCUAAGGCUAAAUACCGGCCGGAGACCGAUAGCGCACAAGUAGAGUGAUCGAAAGAUGAAAAGCACUUUGGAAAGAGAGUCAAACAGCACGUGAAAUUGUUGAAAGGGAAGCGCUUGCCACCAGACUCGUCCGCGGUCGAUCAGCCUCCGUUCUCGGGGGCGCACUCUUCCGUGGUCGGGCCAGCAUCGGUUCGGGUGGUCGGAGAAAGACGGGGGGAAUGUGGCUUCCUUCGGGAAGUGUUAUAGCCCCUCGUGGAAUGCGAUCCACCUGGACCGAGGACCGCGCCUCGGCGAGGAUGCUGGCGUAAUGGUGGUCAGCGGCCCGUCUUGAAACACGGACCAAGGAGUCUAACAUCCACGCGAGUGUUCGGGCGUUAAACCCGUGCGCGCAAUGAAAGUGAAUGGAGGCGGGAGCCUUUGGGUGCACCGUCGACCGAUCCGGAUGUCCUCGGAUGGAUUUGAGUAAGAGCGUGGCUGUUGGGACCCGAAAGAUGGUGAACUAUGCCUGAAUAGGGUGAAGCCAGAGGAAACUCUGGUGGAGGCUCGCAGCGGUUCUGACGUGCAAAUCGAUCGUCAAAUUUGGGCAUAGGGGCGGAAGACCAAUCGAACCAUUACUACUAGGUGGUUGAGAGGGCGGGAGAGAGCUUGCCCUAGUCCCUGCCAUAGGGGCAACGCCGUCAAAUUGCGGGAACCUCCGGAAAACUUCAGCUACCGCGGUCGUUCCGAAAGGAAGGACGCAGCACCGGAUGUAAUGGUCCGGGGAAGGUAAGAAUGCUGAAGGUGGGAUGAUCCGCAGCCAAUCCCUAACGCCUUUUCGGAGGUUAAGGGUGCAGUUCACAGACUAAAUGUCGGCGGGCGGUGUUCAACAUCGCUCAAGAGAUAGUCGAAACCCACCUCGAAAGAGAUGGGGACCAUGUUAUCACAUGGUUGUAUCAAUGCUAGUAGCUGGUUCCUGC
rnacentral:misc_RNA from 1 species